UACGAAGGGGGCUAGCGUUGUUCGGAAUUACUGGGCGUAAAGGGCGCGUAGGCGGCCUGCUAAGUCAUACGUGAAAUCCCUCGGCUCAACCGAGGAACUGCGUCUGAUACUGGUUGGCUUGAAUUCGGGAGAGGGAUGCGGAAUUCCAGGUGUAGCGGUGAAAUGCGCAGAUAUCAGGAAGAACACCGAUGGCGAAGGCAGUUCUCUGGGACGGUACUGACGCUGAGACGCGAAAGCGUGGGGAGCGAACAGG
rnacentral:rRNA from 1 species